AUUUCCUGUAGGUGUGGAUGAGGCGGGUCAGCAACGGGGCAGGCCCUGCCCGCCCUCUCCCCUAAGACGCGGACGGACGCCAGGCUGGCGAGCAUGCGUAGGCACAGCAUGCAGUGUCCACACUCCCGUCAACAGCACACGCCCCAGGCCCUGCUGUCACCACAGGUCCCCAGCGCCACCCACGUGGCAGCAGCCACCAGAGUUCCGUGAGCAGUGCUGCCUCUGCCCAAGAUCCUCCAGGUCUCCCCUCUUCUGUGGAGUCAGUUGAGGCCUCCCCACGCCUCCUGCUCCCUCAGCCCCAGCCCAUCCUGCGCCAGGGCCUUUGCAUGGCUUGGCCUUCCUCCGAGUCAUGAGUCGUCAGGGAUGCCCACAACCAACUUGAAAAACGACUGAAAGCAGCCCAGAGACAGGCAGUGCCUUGCCCGAGGACACACAGCAAUUCCAUUCUGCUCUGGAGGCGCCUCUGGCCACUCUGGUGUACCAGCCUGGCAGCUGUCCUUCCCCACCCUGGGUCCAUCAGAAGCAGCAGAGGGCAUGUGGGGGACACGGGAGGAGACGUCGCGACCACGGGCGUGCAGACUGCACAGUGGGGAAACUGAGACCUGGAAGAUGGAAUCUGUGAUCCCAGGUGAUUACCAAGCUGGGACACACUAGGCAGUCCGUCCAAACCCAUCGACCCCCGGUCUGCUAGGCUGGGACUCUAGGCUGGGAAUCGGUUCUUUCAAGCUUGUCAUCAGAUCCAAACCCUCCCUCCCCACGCUGGGCACUGACAGCAUUUCACUCGACGAUGCUCGGAUCCUAGCUCACACUAGCCUGUCACAUGGCUUUCCCACUUCAAGCUACCUGGACUCUUUAACAGGUCAUCGUGUGUUGGAGGCGCCGCCUGCCUCCCUCCACGCAGGGUGACGCAGGGCCACCGAGAGUCUAAAACUCGGGUGAAGGAGGCCACCUUAGUGGUGCACCUGGGAUGGAAGGCGCCCCAGGCUCAGGCCACCUGUGGCGAGGCCCCCCCGAGGCGCGGCUCACUCCUGGCUUCCUGGCUCCUGCUCUGACCCCAGCCCGUGGGCGGGUGCAGCCCUGGGUCCGGCCAGGGCUGGUGCUUACC